GAUGAACGCUCGCUACAGGCUUAACACAUGCAAGUCGAGGGGAAACGAUGAGAGAGCUUGCUCUCUUAGGCGUCGACCGGCGCACGGGUGAGUAACGCGUAUCCAACCUACCCAUUACAGGGGGAUAACCUUGCGAAAGUAAGACUAAUACCCCAUGGCAUUUUAUGGUGGCAUCAUUAUAGGAUUAAAGAUUUAUUGGUAAUGGAGGGGGAUGCGUCUGAUUAGCUUGUUGGCGGGGUAACGGCCCACCAAGGCAACGAUCAGUAGGGGUUCUGAGAGGAAGGUCCCCCACAUUGGAACUGAGACACGGUCCAAACUCCUACGGGAGGCAGCAGUGAGGAAUAUUGGGCAAUGGGCGAGAGCUUGAACCAGCCAAGUAGCGUGCAGGAUGACGGCCCUAUGGGUUGUAAACUGCUUUUAUAGGGGAAUAAAGUGAGCUACGUGUAGUUUAUUGCAUGUACCCUAUGAAUAAGGACCGGCUAAUUCCGUG
rnacentral:rRNA from 1 species